UACGUAGGGUCCGAGCGUUGUCCGGAAUUACUGGGCGUAAAGAGCUCGUAGGUGGUUUGUCGCGUUGUUCGUGAAAACUCACAGCUCAACUGUGGGCGUGCGGGCGAUACGGGCAGACUGGAGUACUGCAGGGGAGACUGGAAUUCCUGGUGUAGCGGUGAAAUGCGCAGAUAUCAGGAGGAACACCGGUGGCGAAGGCGGGUCUCUGGGCCGUAACUGACGCUGAGGAGCGAAAGCAUGGGGAGCGAACAGG
rnacentral:rRNA from 1 species